CAAUAGCGUAUAUUAAAGUUGUUGCGGUUAAAAAGCUCGUAGUUGGAUUUCUGCUGAGAACGACCGGUCCGCCCUUUGGGUGUGUAUCUGGCUCUUUCUUGGCAUCUUCUUGGUGAACGUUGCUGCACUUGACUGUGUGGAGCGCUACCCAGGACUUUUACUUUGAGGAAAUUAGAGUGUUUCAAGCAGGCAUACGCCUUGAAUACAUUAGCAUGGAAUAAUAAGAUAGGACCUCGGUUUUAUUUUGUUGGUUUCUAGAGCUGAGGUAAUGAUUAAUAGGGAUAGUUGGGGGCAUUCGUAUUUAACUGUCAGAGGUGAAAUUCUUGGAUUUGUUAAAGACGGACUACUGCGAANGNAUUUGGNAAGGAUGUUUNCAUUG
rnacentral:rRNA from 1 species